UACGUAGGGUGCGAGCGUUACUCGGAAUUACUGGGCGUAAAGUGUGCGCAGGCGGCCGAGCAAGUCGAGUGUGAAAGCCCCGGGCUUAACCUGGGAACUGCGCUCGAAACUACUUGGCUUGAGUGUGGCAGAGGGAGGUGGAAUUCCUGGUGUAGCGGUGAAAUGCGCAGAUAUCAGGAGGAACACCGGUGGCGAAGGCGGGUCUCUGGGCCGAUACUGACGCUGAGGAGCGAAAGCGUGGGGAGCGAACAGG
rnacentral:rRNA from 1 species